GGAGACAAUGGGGUUAUUGGGGUCUAUGGAGACAUUGGAGUCAAUGGGGUCAGUGGGGUCAGUGGGGUCAAUGGGGUCACUGGGGUCUUUGAGGUCAAUGGGGGUCACUUGGAGUCAAUGGGGUCACUGAGGCAAUGGGGGUCAUUGGGGUCAGUGCGAUUAUUGGGGUCAAUGGGGUCAUUGAGGUCAAUGGGGUCAUUGUAGUCUAUGGUGUCAUUGGAGUCAAAGGGGUCAUUGGUGUCAAUUCGGACCAUUGGGGUCAAUGAGGGCUGAUGGAAGGAUUGAGGUUAUUGAAUUCACUGUGGUUAUUUGAGUCAAUGGGGUCAUUGUAGUAAAUGGAGUCAUUGGGGUCAAUGGGUUUAAUGGGGUCAGUAGCGGUCAUUGGGGUCAGUGGGGAUCAUUGGGGUCAUUGGUGUCAAUGAAGUCAUUGGGAUCAAUGGGGUAAAUGCAGUGAAUGGGGUUAAUGGGGUCAGUUGGGGUUAUUGGAGACAAUUGGGUCAUUGGGGUUAUUGGGGUCAUUGAGGUCAAUGGGGGUCACUAGGGUUAAUGGGGUCUGUGUUGUCAAUGGGGUUGCUGGGGUUAAUGGGGUCAGUGGGGUAAAUGUGUUGUUGGGGUCAUAUGGGGUCAUUGGGUACAUGUGGGAUCAUUUAGAUCAUUGGGGACAGUAGGGUUAUAAGGUUCAUGUGAGGUCACUGGGGUCACUGGGUCAAAGGGGUCAGUGGGGUCAGUGGUGCCAUUGGCGUUAUUGCAGGCUGUCACGGAGUUACCUAGAUAGAU
ensembl:lncRNA